GAGCAACAGGGGUUGCUUGUGACUUUCUUCUGAUCUCCUGCACCUGUGGUUCUGGUCCCGUGACUACAGAGUCUGUCAUUUCUUGGACACCCUGCAUGCUCCAUGUUCAGAGCAUGGUGCCCAGGGAGAGAAGAUGAUUUGGACACAGAUGGAGUGUUCCCGGCUACAACAGCUUAUUGGUCACAAUUCUGUUUUGGAAGAGCUGUUCCUAACAAAGCCUCGUGGGAAAAGAAUCAGCAGGUGUGAUCUCUCAACUUUCUGUUCCAGCCGUCUGCUUUCAUGCCUCCUCUGCUGUCAUGGACUCUCCCUUAGGAACUCUAGCCAGAAUAAACUCUUUCAUAAUUCUCUUUUGGUCAUGGUGUUUUAGCAGCAACUAAUAUGGAGCUUUUGCCAAUGUGGAUGGAACACAGACACUCUCUUGAAAAGAAAUGUCACAAAGCACUGGUGAUUGAACCAAAGUCAUUGUGCAUGGCCAGGCAAGCAUUCAGCUGCGGAGCUACAUUCCCAGGCCCACUGUUGACUUGUUUGCAUUGGAUUCAUUUUCCUCCAGGAACGAGCUAUUUACCUUUUUUGGCUGCUAUUCUUAAAGGAAGAGUUUGCAUUCCUGAAGCGUACACUCCACGGCCCCAUGAUAUUGGAAGCAGAUGGCCCACGGUAUGCUGUGAGACAUGGGAAUCAAAUUUAUG